rnacentral:rRNA from 1 species
AAUGAACGCUGGCGGCAGGCCUAACACAUGCAAGUCGAACGCACCUUUCGGGGUGAGUGGCGGACGGGUGAGUAACGCGUGGGAAUAUGCCCUUUGGUACGGAAUAGUCCUGGGAAACUGGGGGUAAUACCGUAUGUGCCCUUCGGGGGAAAGAUUUAUCGCCAAAGGAUUAGCCCGCGUUGGAUUAGGUAGUUGGUGGGGUAAUGGCCUACCAAGCCGACGAUCCAUAGCUGGUUUGAGAGGAUGAUCAGCCACACUGGGACUGAGACACGGCCCAGACUCCUACGGGAGGCAGCAGUGGGGAAUCUUAGACAAUGGGGGAAACCCUGAUCUAGCCAUGCCGCGUGAUCGAUGAAGGCCUUAGGGUUGUAAAGAUCUUUCAGAUGGGAAGAUAAUGACGGUACCAUCAGAAGAAGCCCCGGCUAACUCCGUG